GACGAACGCUGGCGGCGUGCUUAACACAUGCAAGUCGAACGGAAAGGCCCUGCUUUUGUGGGGUGCUCGAGUGGCGAACGGGUGAGUAACACGUGAGUAACCUGCCCUUGACUUUGGGAUAACUUCAGGAAACUGGGGCUAAUACCGGAUAGGAGCUCCUGCUGCAUGGUGGGGGUUGGAAAGUUUCGGCGGUUGGGGAUGGACUCGCGGCUUAUCAGCUUGUUGGUGGGGUAGUGGCUUACCAAGGCUUUGACGGGUAGCCGGCCUGAGAGGGUGACCGGCGAAAUUGGGACUGAGAGACGGCCCAGACGCCUAAGGGAGGCAGCAGGGGGGAAUAUUGCACAAUGGGCGGAAGCCUGAUGCAGCAACGCCGCGUGCGGGAUGACGGCCUUCGGGUUGAAAACCGCUUUCGCCUGUGACGAAGCGGGAGUGACGGUAAUGGGUAAAGAAGCACCGGCUAACUACGUG
rnacentral:rRNA from 1 species